AACGGCCAUACCAUGCUGAAUAUACCGGUUCUCGUUAGAUCACCGAAGUCAAGCAUCAUUGAGCACGGUCAGUACUUGGGUGGGUGGCCACCUGGGAACACCGCGUGCCGUU
rnacentral:rRNA from 1 species